UUCUUCUAUAAGGGUGUUCCCCUCCCCAUC
rnacentral:piRNA from 1 species